GGUUGACUCUCGGAUCAGGUAGGAAUACUCCGCUGAACUUAAGCAUAUCAAAAAGGCGGGAGAGACACAAAUAAAAUUGGACUCCCAAUUUACUAACUUGAACUUCAAGUAUAUUUUAGUUCCAGGGCCCAUUUUUUUUUCAAAUUGUAUUUAAAGACAAUGGUAGAUGGGCUACCACGUAGGUUAAGGAUUCCAAAAGGGGAAGAAGGUGGUUUGGGUGG
rnacentral:rRNA from 1 species